rnacentral:rRNA from 1 species
UACGUAGGGUGCGAGCGUUGUCCGGAUUUAUUGGGCGUAAAGGGCUCGUAGGCGGCGCGUCGCGUCGGGAGUGAAAGCCCGUUGCUUAACGGCGGGUUGGCUUUCGGUACGGGCAUGCUGGAGUGCGGCAGGGGAGACUGGAAUUCCUGGUGUAGCGGUGGAAUGCGCAGAUAUCAGGAGGAACACCAAUAGCGAAGGCAGCUCGCUGGGACGUUACUGACACUGAGGCGCGAAAGCGUGGGGAGCGAACAGG